ensembl:snRNA LOC120102556 U4 spliceosomal RNA
AGCUUUGCGCAGUGGCAGUAUCGUAGCCAAUGAGGUUUAUCCGAGGCGCGAUUAUUGCUAAAAAAAUGUUUAUGUGGGGCGGGAUUCACGUGCCACCUCAUGCAGAGCAGAGAACAACCAGUUUUUUUUUUUUAAUCCCACCAUCUGUCGGGUCCUAAAA